rnacentral:rRNA from 1 species
AGUGAACGCUGGCGGUAGGCCUAACACAUGCAAGUCGAACGGCAGCACAGUAAGAGCUUGCUCUUACGGGUGGCGAGUGGCGGACGGGUGAGGAAUACAUCGCAAUCUACUUUUUCGUGGGGGAUAACGUAGGGAAACUUACGCUAAUACCGCAUACGACCUACGGGUGAAAGCAGGGGAUCUUCGCACCUUGCGCGAUUCAAUGAGCCGAUGCCGGAUUAGCUAGUUGGCGGGGUAAAGGCCCACCAAGGCGACGAUCCGUAGCUGGUCUGAGAGGAUGAUCAGCCACACUGGAACUGAGACACGGUCCAGACUCCUACGGGAGGCAGCAGUGGGGAAUAUUGGACAAUGGGCGCAAGCCUGAUCCAGCAAUACCGCGUGGGUGAAGAAGGCCUUCGGGUUGUAAAGCCCUUUUGUUGGGAAAGAAAAGCAGCAGGUGAAUACCCCGCUGUUCUGACGGUACCCAAAGAACAAGCACCGGCUAACUUCGUG